AACGAACGCUGGCGGCAGGCUUAACACAUGCAAGUCGAGCGCCCCGCAAGGGGAGCGGCAGACGGGUGAGUAACGCGUGGGAACGUGCCCUUUGCUACGGAAUAGCUCCGGGAAACUGGAGUUAAUACCGUAUGAGCCCUACGGGGGAAAGAUUUAUCGGCAAAGGAUCGGCCCGCGUUGGAUUAGCUAGUUGGUGGGGUAAAGGCCUACCAAGGCGACGAUCCAUAGCUGGUCUGAGAGGAUGAUCAGCCACAUUGGGACUGAGACACGGCCCAAACUCCUACGGGAGGCAGCAGUGGGGAAUAUUGGACAAUGGGCGCAAGCCUGAUCCAGCCAUGCCGCGUGAGUGAUGAAGGCCUUAGGGUUGUAAAGCUCUUUCACCGGAGAAGAUAAUGACGGUAUCCGGAGAAGAAGCCCCGGCUAACUUCGUGCCAGCCGCCGCCGUAA
rnacentral:rRNA from 1 species